rnacentral:rRNA from 1 species
GACGAACGCUGGCGGCGUGCUUAACACAUGCAAGUCGAACGGAAAGGCCCUUCGGGGUACUCGAGUGGCGCACGGGUGAGUCACACGUGGGUGAUCUGCCCUGCACUUUGGGAUAAGCCUGGGAAACUGGGUCUAAUACCGAAUAGGACCACGCGCAUCAUGGUGUGUGGGGGAAAGCUUUUGCGUUGUCGGAUGGGCCCGCGGCCUAUCAGCUUGUUUGUGGGGUAAUGGCCUACCAAGGCGACGACGGGUAGCCGGCCUGGGAGGGUGACUGGCCACACUGGGACUGAGAUACGGCCCAGACCCCUCCGGGAGGCAGGGGUGGCAAACAUUGGACAAUGCACGCAGGCCUGAUGCAGCGACGCCGCGUGAAGGAUGAAAGCCGUCGGGAUUUAGACGUGGUACAAUAGGCACGAAGCGGAAUUGACGGUACCUAGAGAAGAGGCACGGGCCUGCUACGUG